rnacentral:lncRNA from 1 species
UCAAGAUGAACAUACACUUAUAUAAAUUACUUUAGCUUGAAUGCAUGUUAAGUGUGAUUAUUUGAGUAUACUAAAGGAUGGGACAGAAAUAGGAAAUGCAAAGUUCAACCUUGGUCUGGACAGGGGAUAGCGCAGCUGCACCGUCCCUAAGCCUAGACAGGGCGCACAUGCGCCAUCCUCCAGUCAAGUCUAGAUUAUGUUUCUGAUCUGAUGUUCGAAACAUACUUAUAUGGUUACUUUAACUUGUAUUAUAUAACCAAUAUGCUAUGUAUUGUGUUAAGAAGGAUGCUAGGUGAUUAAGUUGAAUGUUUAAAUGAGUAAUUAUAACUUUCAAAUGUUAAGUCCAAAAGAAUGUUUACAAGCUAUAAAGCAAUGAUUUGAAAAAUAUGUUGUUUGACUUUAUGGUGUCAUACAAUCUGAUUUUUGCUAUGAAGGUGUAGGAUAUGUGAUGUAGUAAGUAUGAGUUACAAAUAAGUUGGAUGUUUAAGUGUACGUUUGAACUUACAUAUAUGAGUUUGCGUAACUAAUGAAAGUCCUAUACGUGUAAAUAUAUCAUGUUAAGACUCAAAAAAGGGUAUUAAGCUUUACUUUGGUAAACUACGCUUGAGGCAAGUACUCGAACCUUACUCUUUAUUGAGCAUUAUUGAACUUGUGCAAUUAUUGAUCGUACAAGUAGAACUUUGAAGAAGUAAUAUUUCGUAAUGAAAUUUCAAACUUUGAUUCGAACGAUAACUGUUCAUAUAUAUAUAUAUAUUGUGAAAGAGCUGUCUAAGCCAUUGAUUCGACUAGGCUAUUGAUAAUUGAUCGAAAACUAUCCAAACCAAAUUAACUUGGUGCAGACUCUUAUAACUGAGAAGAACAACCCUCUUAGUAGGGGAAUUAUAUAUUGUUGGGGAACCGAUGUGCGCACAUGAGAAAGACUAAAUGUUAUGCAUGACAUAGGGUACAUUAGGCUGAUCACCUAUUGUACUCGUUUUGUAGAAUUAUCAAUCUAUUACUGUUAAUUCUAAGAGAAGUUCAUAGUCCUUAGUGACUGCUCAGUAUCUAUUAUUUUGAAAUCUUAAAUUGAUAAAUCUUUAAAUAUUACUAAAUAUUAUUGUCCAUUGUGAUCAUUGUUGUUAAUCAUUGAUACUUCUUGUUAUCUUGAACUAUCAUAUACCCUUGAGAAAUUGAAAACUAUAUUGAAUACCCUUUUUCUAUAUUACUUGCUGGGCAAAAUUGUUGCUCAUUCUUGCUUUCCUUAAAACUUUCAAUGAAGGCAGAACAUGGUGAACCCUCUGGCAAGAACAAGGGUAAAGAAAAGGCUUUGGAGUAGUUAUUUCUAGGUUGCUAGGAAUGUACUAUGAUUUGGUUGUAGAAGAACUUAUUAAGUUAUGUUUAAUUUAAGUUAUGUUGUAUUAUGUAUUAGUUACGUCUAAACGAUGUUUAAUUCUAGUCAAGUUAUGUAAGAGAUGUUUAAGUUUCGAACCCUUGGGACGAGAAUAAUUAUGUUAUACCAAUGUAAAUUAUUAUAUUAUUCUGUUGUAUAGGAUGUUGAUUUAUUAUUAGAGUUAGUACGUGGCAACCAAAUUUGAGACAAGUGUGGUCUGAAUUUGGGGGUGUCACACGCAUAAUCAUGGAUUCAUACCCAUCAGUUAUACAUUUCCUUACAUUCUCAAUGUAAUAAUAAUUGUUACAUUGUUUUCUAACUCGGUUCUUAAAUCCUUCGCUUUACUUUCUCAUUUUACUCUCAGAAUAGCUAUGUAUGUAUAUGCAUACCUUAGUUACACAUAAUUGACAUCAACAUUCAUAAAUCUUUACCACACACUUGACUAACUAUGUGUUCGAUACACAUUUAAAAUUUAUAGGUGUAUGAUCCACAUUGUUCUUGCAUUUUGAAAAUCUUAAUAAAACUUAACAAAUCUGGGUUUUAUAUAGCCAUUACAUGGUUGUAUACUUAAAACAUUACUUAAGUCAAGAAUUGAAGCUUAAGACAUUCAUAUGCUUAAAAGUUCAGAUUAUAAUUUAAACAGUCAAACAACACUACCCUGCAGCGCAGCUGCUCUGCAGUUUGGCCUAGGAUGGGCGCAGUUGCGCCGUCCCCUGGCCAGAUCAGAUUAACAUUUUUAUUUUCUAAUUCACACCUCAUUUCUUAGCAUGCUCACAUAAAACAAAUACAUACGUUAAGAGGUCUUGGUCCAAGUUUGGUGCCUUGUGUUUGCUUUAAGCUAUAUUCAUAUUUUAUAGACUUAGUUCUAUUUAUUUCACUGCUAAGUGAGUUCAUACAAAAAGGAUCUAACUAUAUAACCAUUAACAAUGUUAAACAACUUUCAAUACACAUGAUCACGUAUAUUCAUCUUGUCUACAUAUGACUAGCAUAGUUUAUCACUUGAAAACUUACUUUUAAAACAUGCUCGAAUGACUUUCAUUGUGUCAAACUAGGUGAGUGCACUUAGAGGCCAUGUUUAAUGACAUAAAUAGUAUUAGCAUGCCAUCCUACAAGUUCAAAGGGUAGGAAACACCAUGCUCAAGAAUAUUGGUUUCCCCAAAACUUAAAUUUCUCUUUGAAAACACAUAUUAUCCAUGUUAUGCAAGUUAUCACAUGCAAGGCGACUUAAAAUCACAUUUCAUCCUCGCAUGACUCAACCACAUAUAUAUAUGCUAGAUGACACAAAGUUCAUCAAGGUUUGUUUUCAACAUCUUCAAGUUUAGAAAACAUAUAUUAAAGCAAGUAGAGCCACUCAUGAUAUGCAAGGGAACUCUAGACUAUAUGUCAUACUCAUUUGUAUAUGUUUCUACACAUGCUUACAAGGUGAAAAUAUAACCACUCCAUGUUUAUAAAACUUAGUCUGCAAAAGUAUCUGAGUUUGCCUUUGAAAUCAUUUUAAACCAAAUCAAAGCAAUCUAACACAGACGAAACAACUUUGAAUUUUAUGUUAUGCAUAGCUAAACUUCGCAUACAUGUUAUCAAGGUUAGAAUCUAAGGUACACAAGUUCUGUCACAGUUUACUUUCAAAAUCUUCGUAUAAUCUUUGGAAAAUAACCAUUUAAGAAACUCAUGGUAUAUAAAGGUACUCAAGACCAUAUGUCAUACUUAUUUGUAUGCAUGACUAAGUCAUUUACACAAGCUACAAAUAUCAGAAUUCAAAAGUCUCAAGGUUAGUCUAUAUUUUUUUUCAAAAUCUUCAAGUCUCUUUUAUAAAUAUACUAAAUCACGCUAUUGCAAAUUCAUUAUAAGUAAGACAACUUUAAACCACAUAUAAUACUUAUUGUUAUUCAUAACCAAGUUAAACCAUCAUGCUUGGAAUAACCAAAAAGUCAGUAUAUCAUUCUAGUGCAUAGCGUUGCUGCGCUAUAUUAUACUAUGGGAACGGCGCAGCUACACUAGCAUUUUGAGACACUGCAUCCGGCAUAGCUGCGCUAGAAAGGCCCAUAGAAUGGGUGCAGCUGCGCCCUUCCUGGAUGGUUCUAGGAAUGGCUCUGCUUCUACAGAAUCCAAACCCAAACGCAACAUUAUUUAAUUAUCUUGCUUAAAAUCAACUAAAUUACUUUCAUACAUUUAUAUAAUACUUAACUAACAUGCUAUCAAUUCUUAAAUCUCAUAAACAACCAAUUUGGCAACUCAAAUUCAAAGUUCAUGCUAUUUUUUCAUCUUUUAAUAUAUUUAGCAAAUUUCAUCACUACAAAUUCGUUUCUAAACCAAAUUGAUUCGUUUAACUUUCAUUGUUUUCUUUUUUAACUGUAUUAAAGGUAUCUUACAACAAUUCAUGGAUUAUAACAAUCCUUAGCCAUCAAUUUUUGACUCAAAAACAAGUAUUUAUUGACAUUACUAAGAAAUUACAAAACAUAGAAAUCAAGAGCAUAUAUGCUAGCAUUAUUACCUCUUGAAUUCUUGCAAUUAUUAACUAUAGUUCCUCAAUUGUCUAAUUGCUCCUCAAUUCUCCAAUUCUACUACAUCUCUAUAGCAAAUGCUCAGACAGUCAACAAACGGGAAUGAGGAGGAGGAGUCUCUAUUUAUAGUGAAUUCAAUACCCAACCAAGAGCUUUACCUAAUGUUUUGAACUAACAGGAAGAAGAAGAAGAAGAAGAUGAUGGAUAAAGAAGAUUUGGUGAAAAGAAAUUACAUGCUCCUUCCCCUUUGUAACAACUCGAUAUUUUCUAUACAAAUAAAUCAGAAAUUUUAAGUAUAAUUUUUUUUUAUUAAAAUAAAUAUGGGGAAGUAUGUGCUAGGUAAUGUGUAUAUAUAUGUAUGUGAUAAAUA